CCCAGUGCUGACCCCUUGUUAAGAAACAGCUUCUCACUAAAUGAUCUGUCUUCCAGCUCUACAAUGGCAAGAAUCUGGGACUUACUGUUUAUACUGUUUACUUUUGCAGUUAGCAUGUAAAUACUGGGCUCCCCACAUCAAGAAGAAAUCACCUUUUGAUAUAAAGGUUAUUGAAGAUAUAUAUGAAAAAGAGAUUGUCAAAUCAAGGUUUGCUAUUAGAAAGAUAAUGCUCUUGGAAUUUAGCCAGUAUCUUGAAAAUUAUCUCUGGAUGAAUUAUUCUCCUGAGGUAUCCAGCAAGGCCUAUUUAAUGUCAAUCUGCUGUAUGGUGAAUGAGAAGUUUAGAGAAAAUGUGCCUGCAUGGGAGGUAACUGAUUUAAAUUACUUCAUAGCUUUCAUGCUGACCCACAUAAGCCAUUACAAAGUGGCAGAACUUUUACUGAUAGUGGUGCUUUUAGAGCAGAACUUUACCCAGUAAUAAAGCAAAUAUUGAGAAA
rnacentral:sRNA from 1 species